GACGAACGCUGGCGGCGUGCUUAACACAUGCAAGUUGAACGGAAAGGCCCUGCUUUUGUGGGGUGCUCGAGUGGCGAACGGGUGAGUAACACGUGAGUAACCUGCCCUUGACUUUGGGAUAACUUCAGGAAACUGGGGCUAAUACCGGAUAGGAGCUCCUGCUGCAUGGUGGGGGUUGGAAAGUUUCGGCGGUUGGGGUUGGACUCGCGGCUUAUCAGCUUGUUGGUGGGGUAGUUGCUUACCAAGGCUUUGACGGGUAGCCGGCCUGAGAGGGUGACCGGCAAAAGUGGGAAUGAGAUACGGCCAGACUCCGACGGGAGGCAGCAGUGGGGAAUAUUGCACAAUGGGCGGAAGCCUGAUGCAGCAACGCCGCGUGCGGGAUGACGGCCUUCGGGUUGUAAACCGCUUUCGCCUGUGACGAAGCGUGAGUGACGGUAAUGGGUAAAGAAGCACCGGCUAACUACGUG
rnacentral:rRNA from 1 species